rfam:Brachypodium distachyon strain Bd21 chromosome 2, whole genome shotgun sequence.
UUCCUACUCCCUCUGUCCAAAAAAUGAUGUCUCAAGUUUGUCAAAAUUUGGAUGUAUCUAGACAUGACUUAGUACGUAGAUGCAUUCACAUUUAAUCAAAGUUGAGACAUCCUUUGUUGGACAAAAGGAGUAUUUA